rnacentral:rRNA from 1 species
AGAGUUUGAUCAUGGCUCAGGAUGAACGCUGGCGGCGUGCCUAACACAUGCAAGUCGAGCGGAGAUAUUUGGAGUACUUGUACAAAGGAUAUCUUAGCGGCGGACGGGUGAGUAACACGUGAGCAAUCUGCCUUUUACUGGGGAAUAACACUGGGAAACCAUUGCUAAUACCGCAUAAUGUCUUUUCCCGGCAUCGGGGGAAGACCAAAGGAGAAAUCCGGUAAAAGAUGAGCUCGCGUCCGAUUAGGUAGUUGGUGAGGUAACGGCCCACCAAGCCUACGAUCGGUAGCCGGACUGAGAGGUUGAACGGCCACAUUGGGACUGAGACACGGCCCAGACUCCUACGGGAGGCAGCAGUGGGGAAUAUUGGGCAAUGGGGGAAACCCUGACCCAGCAACGCCGCGUGAAGGAUGAAGGCUUUCGGGUUGUAAACUUCUUUGAUCAGGGACGAAACAAAUGACGGUACCUGAAGAACAAGCCACGGCUAACUACGUGCCAGCAGCCGCGGUAAUACGUAGGUGGCGAGCGUUAUCCGGAUUUACUGGGUGUAAAGGGCGUGUAGGCGGGUCUGCAAGUCGGAUGUGAAAUUCCCAGGCUUAACUUGGGCGGGUCAUCCGAAACUGCGGAUCUUGAGUACUGGAGAGGAUAGUGGAAUUCCUAGUGUAGCGGUAAAAUGCGUA